rnacentral:lncRNA from 1 species
UUUCAAACAGGCUCUGUCUUAUUACAAUUGAGUUCUCUUAACCAAAUGGGAACCAGUUAGAAAAUGACAGAGAUGAGUUUGAAAAUACAUGUAUGUGCCUAUCAUUUAUUUGUGCAGGAGUUAUGUCCCUUUACAAAUGUAAAUCAUAUAGGAUUUAAUUACAUUGUGCAUGUUGUAAGGGCUUUCAAAUGUACAAUUCUUGCCAGAGUUUAUAUGAAAUGUCUUUCAAAGGUUUAUACAAAUGUACCAGUAUUUAGAAAUAUUUGAAAACAGUUUGAAAAUCACUUGGCAAUUAAACUUUUUUUAUAGAGUUAUGCCCCUUGGAAAUAUAAAUUAUAUGAAAAAUUGAGUUAGCAUUGCUCUCACUCAGUGUUCUCACUAAGGCUAGUCUAUGACUUAUUCAAAAACUGAUGAGUCCAGAGAUGCAUCAAGAUUGAAAUAUUUUGUAUAAACUCAACACACAUAUCUAGCUAAUUUUUAAAAGUUAUUUGAAUUUAAGGUGGUACCCAACACUUUCACUAAAAUUAAUUUGGCUCGUUUAAUUUUCAUAAAAUUUUGACAAAGUAUUUACUUUGACCCUUUGACAAAAAUAUAAAAAUUUCAAAAAAAUUGAACAACUGUUUUAUCAGAAAAAAUUCAGGGGUUAAAAUGUAUAUAGCAGUUUGACAAACACUUAUUUUGAUCAUUGAGAAGCUUAAUAUUCCCUUGAAACACAACGUAAUUAAAACGUUUAGAAGAUGAUUUUACACAGUUAUCUCUCUGUAGUGUUAGGUACCACCUUAAUGUCAUUUCAUUGCUCUAUUACAUGUAGGUCAUAAAGACUAAAUGAUAAAUUAUAUUGCAAUAAAAUAUCUUUUUCUAACUGUUGAACUCACCAUAGUAAAAAAUGACUAGACCCUGGACUGACCUUCAAAAAACCUUACCCCGAGAACCCUGCCUCACUCCUGCAUUUGUUGUAUAUACUGUAGGAUUGUUAUGAAAUUAAUAUCAGGAGAUUGAAUAAUAAAUUAUACUGCAAUAAAAUAUCUUUUUCUUACUGUUGAACUCACCAUGGUAAAAAAAAUUAUAAGAACCUGGAAAUUACCUUCAAAAACCUUGGCCUGAGAACUCUAUCUCACUCCUGCAUUUGUUGUACAUGCUGUAGGAUUGUUAUGAAAUAUCAAAGAUCAAAAUCAGGGAUUUAUUAAAACAAUUUGAAUUAUUUUGUCAGGAGUUAUGUCCCUUUGACAUUUAAUUUAUAUUGAACAUUGCAUUGUAACCUCAGGGUUACUCUUAUGUUUACUCCAAUUUUUAUGAAAACUGUAUCAAAUAUUUAUACCAGACAUUAUUAUACAGUGAGUUGCUGAAUCUAAAGCAUCAUGGGUAAUUUCAUUGUUCGUACCCCAAAAUGAAAAUAACGCCAUGUCAUUGGUUAAAUUUCCAUUGUUUAUGACAUUUUUAACCAAUCAGGGCAUUGUGGUGUACACUUUUGAAAAUAUUACCCAGGAUGUAUUAUAUUCUGAAACGGCCAAUUGUGCAAACCAAUUUCUUUUUAUUUGUAAGUUAUUACACUGGUUUUUAUACAUGUACGUGUGCAUAUAAUGAUUUUGUAUCAUAAACCAAUGUGCAAUGAUAAAUUGAAUCAAAAUGAAUACUGUUAGCUUUUAUUAACAUUUAUAUUGCAAGUACAUGUAUACUGUAAUUAUUAUUAUUUAUUAUUUGUUAUUUAUUAUUUGUAUCUACUGUAACAAUGAAUCAAUACAUAUAGUUUUACUUACUGUUACAUAAGUGUACCCUAAUGUUAUACAUGUAUAUACGGUAUACAUACACAUAAUUAAGAACUGGUGCUUAGCAAAAAGUUUUUAUUUUACACCACAUAAAAAGUACCAAUGAAAGAUCAGUUUGUGAUUACAGAUCAGUGUGAUGUUGCAUGACCUAAUGGAUUAUUACAAUGAGAACUAGCUUUAGCAACAUUGUAUAUUGUCCUUAAACAUCUUAAAAAAGCAGAUUUCAAGUGUAUUUUUCAACUAUGUGUAUUUCAAACUUUGUUGUUUAUAUUUAUAUUUAUAAAAACCUAAAAAAAAGCUUGGCAUUUAACUUUUAUAUUCUAUUAUAGUCAAAUUACAAAUUUUACCUAUGUUUAAGUAAUUUACAUAAGUAUCUCAGCAUUUUUAAAAUAAAUAGUUAUCAGAAUCAUAUUCCUCCUUAUUAGCAUCUAGUCCAUUAUUUACAAUUAGUCAACAAGUGUAUUUUCAUGCGCAGAUCCAGAGGGGGGUUCCGGGGUUGGAACCCCCCCUUUUUUUUGUACGAUCAAUGCAUUUGAAUGGGGACAUUUAGUUGGAACCCCCCUUUGUCCUGGGUUAGGAACCCCCCUUUUUUAAAAUGGCUGGAUCCGCCCCUGAAUUUACUUUAUACUGGUACAGGUAAAUUAUUUUUGAAUUCAAGUUAUAUCAAUUAGACAUUCAGAUUUUUUCCCUUACCGUAUUUAAGUUAAGAAAGUCUUAUUUUCUUCUACUCUCUAGUUUCUAUUGACUACAUUGCCUUUAUUAAGUGUAACAGUCUUUACUUUUUAUAAAAGUAUAAUUUUAUGGACAGUUCAAUUUUCAUUUGUCUGUUACCAUCAAAAUACUACUCCAUGGAGCAAUUUUUGAAGUCCUUGCACGAUAACUUAAAAUCUGUUUACAAUAGAUUUCUUUGCUUAGUUCUUGAGAUUUAUGCUUGACCUCUAAUAAAAAAAAUAAUUAGCAAACCAGUUUUAACAUCCUAAGCUUGAAAAUUUAAGGGGUUGUAAAUAAAAUUAGUUGUACAUUUUUUGAGAUGAUUAAGGGGAGAUAAUUCAAACAUUAAAAAAAAAAAAAGACUUGGAUACGUAUUACUCUGACAGAUAACGGCGAUGGAGGUAUAGAGAAAGAUUUUCACAAACCCCUUGAUCAAUGAAAUUGAUAAAAAGAAGUACUAGGUACACUGAAGUUAGAAUAAAUCUACUGUAUAGUGCAUUUUGUACCAAAAAGGUUUUAAAAAAAGAAAAAAAGUCAAAGGAAACUUUCAAAAGUGAGAAGUCUAUGAAAACCUAGGUUAGGGGAAAUAACUUUGAAAAUUGUUACUAUGUUUUAUAUUCUAAGCUUUAAAGAUACAUGGAUAAUUUCCAAUCUGUUUCAGGUAAAUGCAUUGAUGAAACUUGCCUUUUUUAAACGCAUAACUGAUUUAAAGAGUUAUCUCCCUGAAGUAAGGUCUACAACCUUAAAACAUUAUCAACCAACAGAAUGAGUGGUAAUUAAGUGAGGGUUUAACUUUAAAUGCUCUUCAACUUUAUACUUUAUUUGGCCUUUUUUUUAUUCAAGCGUCACUGAUGAGUCUUUUGUAGACAAAACACGCGUCUGUCACAAAUACAAAAUUUAUCUAUGAUGAGUUAUUUUACCUUAGUUCUGAAUUUUUUAUUUGUUUCUAGUCUUAUAUUUCACCUGUUAAUCUUAUUUUUAGGAAUAACACUACAUGUAUGAUAUAAAAAAUGAAUUAAGGGGGUUCGCGGGUCUAAAUCAUUUAUAUAGGAUAUCUCUAUAUUUUUCUAUAAAUAAACUUUAUCUUAUAGUUAAUAGAAAAAUAAAAUUAAAAAGUGGGGUCACCGUUCAUUUGCGCUCACAAUCUGCCUUCCAAAGAAGCAUACAUUUUUGUAAAGGUGGUUUUUUUCUGUUGAAGUAAUAGGAGAAAUAAAAGUAAUAUCGAAAUAAAAAAAAGAAAUUUAUUACAAAAAUCGCUAAAAUUUUACAAUAAUUUAGUUUAAGUACAGCUUAUAUGGAAAAUUAUAUUAAAAA